CAGUCGCCACGGUAAUACGAAGGGGGCUAGCGUUGCUCGGAAUGACUGGGCGUAAAGGGCGCGUAGGCGGAUUGUACAGUCAGACGUGAAAUUCCUGGGCUCAACCUGGGGACUGCGUUUGAGACGUGCGAUCUAGAGUUUGGAAGAGGGUCGUGGAAUUCCCAGUGUAGAGGUGAAAUUCGUAGAUAUUGGGAAGAACACCGGUGGCGAAGGCGGCGACCUGGUCCUUGACUGACGCUGGGGCGCGAGAGCGUGGGGAGCAAACAGGAUUAGAUACCCCGGUAGUCCCUGUCUCUUAUAC
rnacentral:rRNA from 1 species